rnacentral:rRNA from 1 species
GGCAACCUGCCUACGAACUGGGGAAUAGCUCCCUGAAAGGGGAAUUAACACCGCAUAACACUAUUGAUUCGCAUGAAUUGGUAGUUAAAUGUAGCGAUACAGGUUAUAGAUGGGCAUGCGUGACGAUUAGCUAGUUGGUGAGGUAACGGCUCACCAAGGCUACGAUGUCUAGGGGUUCUGAGAGGAAGGUCCCCCACACUGGUACUGAGACACGGACCAGACUCCUACGGGAGGCAGCAGUGAGGAAUAUUGGUCAAUGGGCGCAAGCCUGAACCAGCCAUGUCGCGUGCGGGAAGAACCUGCCCUAUGGGUUGUAAACUGCUUUUAUAGUAGAAGAAACACAUCUACGAGUAGAUGUCUGCCAGUAUACUAUGAACUAAGCAUCGGCUAACUCCGUGCCAGCCGCCGC